rnacentral:rRNA from 1 species
UACGGAGGGGGCUAGCGUUGUUCGGAAUUACUGGGCGUAAAGCGCGCGUAGGCGGACCUGCAAGUCGGGGGUGAAAGCCCGAGACUCAACCUCGGAACUGCCUUCGAUACUGCGGGUCUCGAGUCCGGGAGAGGUGAGUGGAAUUCCUAGUGUAGAGGUGAAAUUCGUAGAUAUUAGGAAGAACACCAGUGGCGAAGGCGGCUCACUGGCCCGGUACUGACGCUGAGGCGCGAAAGCGUGGGGAGCAAACAGG